GUUCCGCUGCCGUUCCGCGGCCGUUCCACCUCCUGUGUGAGUCCCGUGUAGAACACUGCUACAGCUUGGAUCAGCAUGAAACUCUCCUGGUUAAAACAUCGGUACAAAAGAUUGUUAUGUUUGAACAUAUCUGGGUGGUAACAAGCCAAAGCCUGUGGACAUAAACACCUCCAGGAAGAAGGCAAAGGUACAUGGACACCUGAACAAUCACAUGAUUGAUGAUCAUGUGAUUCCAAAUGACCCCCAACACCAAACACCGAUGGGGGGUGAUGAAGCCCGGCUCACAGUUGUUGUUCCAGUCCAUCCCAAAGAAGUUGGAUAGUGUUGCAGUCAGGGUUAGGAAGCGUGGAGGUGGAUGGUGGAUCUGGCAUAUAGCACGCACAACUUUGGUGCAGACGCUGCAGUUUGCAUCCCGUCACAAUCCACGUUAAGUUAAUGUUCACUUUUUAAGAUCUAUAAAGACACCGUAAAGUUGCCACGCACUGAUUUUGUUGAAAAUAAAUCAUUUGGCACAUUGGCACUGAACACUAAAAUUUAUUAGAAUACUUUUGAUUACCUUAUCAUUGCAGACUGUAACUCUACAGUGUUUCUUAGGGACCAACAGCUCAAACCAUAAAAGACAACGCUACACAAGAACUUCUUUUUUUUUUUUUGCCCUAGUGUAUAAAAUAAAUGAACAUUUUAUAAAAGUAUGAUCGGAACAAAAAAACAUCCUUACAAUGAUUAUUCAUACUACGGAGAAUCAUAAAUACUGCAUCAAACUCCAGCAGCAGUGUGUGAGCUGACAGGCCUCAGACAGCAGGAAGGCCUUCAUCUGAGUCCUACCACUCUGACACCUACCUGACAUCCUUAAAAAGAUGUUUCUGUGGACAAAGUUUAUGUAUUUUUCUGAUCUGAUCGCUUCAUCCUAUCAGCACAAACUGAGGGAUUAGAGAGCUGAGAAUGAGUAAGAUCAUUUAUGAGGAUCUAAGACUCAUUCAAAACAUAAACAAUCAAUAAAUGCCACAUUAGAAGACACUGUGCAUCAACUCUAGUUUACAUUCAACUGUGUUUUGCUACUGUCAGCAUGUUUACACCUGAAAUACCCAAAGACACAAACCAAACACUGACCACAGCUGAUACAAUGCAAACCAACAGUCAGCUGCACAGCCCGGCCUGG